UAGGGAAUCUUCCACAAUGGACGAAAGUACUGAUGGAGCAACGCCGCGUGAGUGAAGAAGGGUUCGGCUCGUAAACUCUGUUGUUAAAGAAGAACAUAUCUGAGAGUAACUGUUCAGGUAUUGACGGUAUUUAACCAGAAAGCCACGGCUAACUACGUGCCAC
rnacentral:rRNA from 1 species